GACGAACGCUGGCGGCGUGCUUAACACAUGCAAGUCGAACGGAAAGGCCCUGCUUGCAGGGUGCUCGAGUGGCGAACGGGUGAGUAACACGUGGGUGAUCUGCCCCUUACUUUGGGAUAAGCCUGGGAAACUGGGUCUAAUACUGGAUAGGACCAUGCUGUAGGUGGUGUGGUGGAAAGAUUAGUUUCGGUAAGGGAUGAGCUCGCGGCCUAUCAGCUUGUUGGUGGGGUAAUGGCCUACCAAGGCGUCGACGGGUAGCCGGCCUGAGAGGGUGGACGGCCACAUUGGGACUGAGAUACGGCCCAGACUCCUACGGGAGGCAGCAGUGGGGAAUAUUGCACAAUGGGCGCAAGCCUGAUGCAGCGACGCCGCGUGGGGGAUGACGGCCUUCGGGUUGUAAACUCCUUUCAGCCAUGACGAAGCCUUCGGGUGACGGUAGUGGGAGAAGAAGCACCGGCUAACUACGUG
rnacentral:rRNA from 1 species